rnacentral:rRNA from 1 species
GACGAACGCUGGCGGCGUGCCUAAUACAUGCAAGUUGAGCGAUGAAGAUUGGUGCUUGCACCAAUUUGAAGAGCAGCGAACGGGUGAGUAACGCGUGGGGAAUCUGCCUUUGAGCGGGGGACAACAUUUGGAAACGAAUGCUAAUACCGCAUAACAACUUUAAACAUAAGUUUUAAGUUUGAAAGAUGCAAUUGCAUCACUCAAAGAUGAUCCCGCGUUGUAUUAGCUAGUUGGUGAGGUAAAGGCUCACCAAGGCGAUGAUACAUAGCCGACCUGAGAGGGUGAUCGGCCACAUUGGGACUGAGACACGGCACAAACUCCUACGGGAGGCAGCAGUAGGGAAUCGUCGGCAAUGGACGAAAGUCUGACCGAGCAACGCCGCGUGAGUGAAGAAGGUGUUCGGAUCGUAAAACUCUGUUGGUAGAGAAGAACGUUGGUGAGAGUGGAAAGCUCAUCAAGUGACGGUAACUACCCAGAAAGGGACGGCUAACUACGUG